ACCUCGACACCUACGGGAGGGAGCAGUGGGGAAUAUUGCACAAUGGGGGAAACCCUGAUGCAGCAACGCCGCGUGAAGGAAGACGGUUUUCGGAUUGUAAACUUCUGUUCUUAGUGAAGAUAGUGACGGUAGCUAAGGAGCAAGCCACGGCUAACUACGUGCCAGUAGCCGCGGUAAUCUGAGCGGGCUGGCAAGGC
rnacentral:rRNA from 1 species